UAACAUUGAGCUGUGAUGGGGAGCGAAGUUUAGUAGCGAAGUUAGUGACGUCACACUGCCAAGAAAAGCUUCUAGCGUUUAAACAUACUCUACCCGUACCGCAAACCGACACAGGUAGUUGGGAAGAGAAUUCUAAGGUGAGCGAGAGAACCAUCGUUAAGGAACUCGGCAAAAUGACCCCGUAACUUCGGGAGAAGGGGUGCCUACGAGAGUAGGCCGCAGUGAAUAGGCCCAAGCGACUGUUUAACAAAAACACAGGUCUCUGCAAAACCGUAAGGUGAAGUAUAGGGGCUGACGCCUGCCCGGUGCUGGAAGGUUAAGAGGAGUGCUUAGCGCAAGCGAAGGUAUGAAUUGAAGCCCCAGUAAACGGCGGCCGUAACAAUAACGGUCCUAAGGUAGCGAAAUUCCUUGUCGGGUAAGUUCCGACCUGCACGAAUGGCAUAAUGAUGGCCAGGCUGUCUCCACCCGAGACUCAGUGAAAUUGAAAUCGCCGUGAAGAUGCGGUGUACCCGCGGCUAGACGGAAAGACCCCGUGAACCUUUACUAUAGCUUGACACUGAACAUUGAAUUUUGAUGUGUAGGAUAGGUGGGAGACUUAGAAGUAGGAACGCCAGUUUCUAUGGAGUCGACCUUGAAAUACCACCCUUUAACGUUUGAUGUUCUAACGAAGAUUGCGGAACGCGGUCUCGGACAGUGUCUGGUGGGUAGUUUGACUGGGGCGGUCUCCUCCCAAAGAGUAACGGAGGAGCACGAAGGUUUGCUAAUCACGGUCGGACAUCGUGAGGUUAGUGCAAUGGUAUAAGCAAGCUUAACUGCGAGACAGACAAGUCGAGCAGGUACGAAAGUAGGUCAUAGUGAUCCGGUGGUUCUGAAUGGAAGGGCCAUCGCUCAACGGAUAAAAGCUACCCUGGGGAUAACAGGCUUAUCUCCCCCAAGAGUUCACAUCGACGGGGAGGUUUGGCACCUCGAUGUCGGCUCGUCGCAUCCUGGGGCUGUAGUCGGUCCCAAGGGUUGGGCUGUUCGCCCAUUAAAGCGGCACGCGAGCUGGGUUCAGAACGUCGUGAGACAGUUCGGUCCCUAUCCGUCGCGGGCGUAGGAAAUUUGAGAGGAUCUGCUCCUAGUACGAGAGGACCAGAGUGGACUUACCGCUGGUGUACCAGUUGUCUUGCCAAAGGCAUCGCUGGGUAGCUAUGUAGGGAAGGGAUAAACGCUGAAAGCAUCUAAGUGUGAAACCCACCUCAAGAUGAGAUUUCCCAUGAUUUUAUAUCAGUAAGAGCCCUGAGAGAUGAUCAGGUAGAUAGGUUAGAAGUGGAAGUGUGGCGACACAUGUAGCGGACUAAUACUAAUAGCUCGAGGAC
rnacentral:rRNA from 1 species